rnacentral:rRNA from 1 species
GCAUGUGGUUUAAUUUGACGCAACGCGAAGAACCUUACCAAGGCUUGACAUCCUUUGAAUCCUUUAGAGAUAGGGGAGUGCCCUUCGGGGAGCAGAGAGACAGGUGGUGCAUGGUUGUUGUCAGCUCGUGUCGUGAGAUGUUGGGUUAAGUCCCGCAACGAGCGCAACCCUUAUCCCUAGUUGCCAGCGAGAGAGUCGGGGACUUUAGGGAGACUGCCCGGGACGACCGGGAGGAAGGCGGGGAUGACGUCAAAUCAUCAUGCCCCUUAUGUUUUGGGCUACACACGUGCUACAAUGGGCGGUACAAACCGAAGCGAAGCCGAGAGGUGGAGCGAACCGGAGAAAGCCGUUCCCAGUUCGGAUUGCUUUUUGCAACUCGAGAGCAUGAAGGCGGAAUCGCUAGUAAUCGCGGGUCAGCAUACCGCGGUGAAUACGUUCCCGGGCCUUGUACACCCCGCCCGUCACACCCCGAAAGUCGGCAACCCCCGAAGUCGGUGAGGUAACCUGUAAGGAGCCA